rnacentral:tRNA from 1 species
UGGAUCACCUCCUAACAGGGAGACAAAAACUGAUUGUGAUGUCUGAGGUUUUUUCCUUAGGCCAUGAUCCUGUCACCUUAGGUCGAUCGGUACCUCAGUCUUAAUGGUCAGAGAAUUGUUUAUUCAAUACUUCUGAAAUUUUGAUUCAGUUCCUAAACUUGUCUAGGUCACACCCAACAAGGGUACUCCUGGGCCAUUAGCUCAGGUGGUUAGAGCGCACCCCUGAUAAGGGUGAGGUCCCUGGUUCAAGUCCAGGAUGGCCCAUUCGGUGUUGGGGGUAUAGCUCAGUUGGUAGAGCGCCUGCUUUGCAAGCAGGAUGUCAGCGGUUCGAGUCCGCUUACCUCCACUGAUCACCCUCCAGCGACUGAAGCCUUUGGAGAUAAUCUUGUUUUUGGUGUUGAUUUAGAUUUCGUGUUGAACGAAGAACCUAGCUUCUUAUCAUCCCUUACCUGAAUUUUUCGAAAUACAGAGAAGGUUGAUAUGACGCUGGGCUCGCUACAUUCAUUGAGUGUAGAGACGUUCAGUAGAACCUUGACAACUGCAUAGGUGAGUUUGAAAAGAAUAAAGCAUCUCAUGGAUGCAUUUUUUUCUUUGGAGUUUCUUUGAAGUUUUUGAAUUACAAAAGCAGAUCGAAAUUCUAAGACGAAAGUGUAAAAAUUCUUGAGUAAGAGCCAAAGCUCUAUAAGACUUCUUGUUUUAUAGAGACAUAUGGUCAAGCUACAAAGGGCUCACGGUGGAUACCUUGGCACACAGAGGCGAUGAAGG